rnacentral:lncRNA from 1 species
GGUGAAGAAAAGAAAAAGUGCAGAAAACCAUCUUUUCGAAAGAGCUUUCCAUCAUUCAGGCAACAGGUCACUCAGUGAAGAAACUGUGCCAGGAGACUGGGAAUAUAUUCUAAAUCCUUAAGCAAACUGUGCUGAAAACAAACUGCUGAAAGAAAAUAAGCAUUUGACUUUAAAACGAUGCCUCUGAAAAAAGGGACAUGCAGCAGCUGCCAGAUGUUCAUGAUCCCACCUCCCCUACUUAACAAAGGCACCUAUAUUUCACCAGAAAUAAAAUUUUAUUAGUAACAUGUCAAA